rnacentral:rRNA from 1 species
AUUGAACGCUGGCGGUAUGCUUAACACAUGCAAGUCGAACGAUGAGAAAGAGCUUGCUCUUUCGAUUAGUGGCGGACGGGUGCGUAACGCGUAGGAAUCUACCUAUUAGUGGGGGACAACUUAGGGAAACUUAAGCUAAUACCGCAUACGCCCUACGGGGGAAAGAAGGGAUCGCAAGACCUUUUGCUAAUAGAUGAGCCUGCGUAGGAUUAGCUAGUGGGUGGGGUAAAAGCUCACCAAGGCGACGAUCCUUAACUGGUUUGAGAGAAUGAUCAUUAACACUGGAACUGAGACACGGUCCAGACCCCUACGGGAGGCAGCAGUGGGAAAUAUUGGACAAUGGGCGAAAGCCUGAUCCAGCAAUACCGCGGGUGUGAAGAAGGCCUUAGGGUUGUAAAGCACUUUCAAUUGGAAGGAAAACCUCGAAGCUAAUACCUUCGAGUUUGACAUUACCUUUAGAAGAAGCACCGGCUAACUCCGUGCCAGCAGCCGCCGUAA